rnacentral:rRNA from 1 species
GUGGGGAAUCUUGCGCAAUGGGCGAAAGCCUGACGCAGCCAUGCCGCGUGAAUGAUGAAGGUCUUAGGAUUGUAAAAUUCUUUCACCGGGGACGAUAAUGACGGUACCCGGAGAAGAAGCUCCGGCUAACUUCGUGCCAGCAGCCGCGGUAAUACGAAGGGGGCUAGCGUUGCUCGGAAUUACUGGGCGUAAAGGGCGCGUAGGCGGACAGCUUAGUCAGAGGUGAAAGCCCAGGGCUCAACCUUGGAAUUGCCUUUGAUACUGGCUGUCUUGAGUUUGGGAGAGGUGAGUGGAACUCCGAGUGUAGAGGUGAAAUUCGUAGAUAUUCGGAAGAACACCAGUGGCGAAGGCGACUCACUGGCCCAAUACUGACGCUGAGGCGCGAAAGCGUGGGGAGCAAACAGGAUUAGAUACUCGAGUAGUCC